rnacentral:lncRNA from 1 species
CAUUAAGGUCUUACCCAGAUGAAAUAAAAUGACAAGACCAGAUGGACUCCUGACGAGUGUCUGGAUGUUCAACAUCAAUCACUUUUACACCAACAAAACAUCCUAUUACACAGGGUACUGCAUUGCUUCAGAUAUUCUAACUUUUUGACCAGCGACUUUGGUAUCGGAUCCAUACAUUACACUUUUUCCUGCGGGAAAAAAAAAAAAAUUGUACAACUGCAUAAAUAUAAAACUCUUCCACCAUGAAAAUGACUAAAACAUUCAUUAGAAAGUUACACCACGUCAUGUGAUGUCUCCAGCAACAACAACAAAAAAAAAUGGUUCGUUUUAAAAGCACAGAGUCGCUGUCAGUGUUUCCAUGAAGGAGGAAGGAAGCUAGUCUCCCUGCCUGCUGCUAGAUACACAGAACACUGCUAGCUCUAGACUACAAUAGAGAGGAGGAGGAGAAGCAUUGGACAUAGAGAGAGGAGGAGGAGGAGAAGCAUUGGACAUAUAGAGGAGGAGGAGGAGAAGCAUUGAACAUAGAGAGAGGAGGAGGAGGAGGUGAAGCAUUGGACAUAGAGAGGAGGAGGAGAAGCAUUGGACAUAGAGAGAGGAGGAGGUGAAGCAUUGGACAUAUAGAGGAGGAGGAGGUGAAGCAUUGGAGGAGGAGAAGCAUUGGACAGAGAGGAGGAGGAGAAGUAUUGGACAUAGAGGAGGAGGAGAAGCAUUGGACAUAGAGAGGAGGAGGAGGAGGUGAAGCAUUGGACAUAGAGGAGGAGGAGAAGCAUUGGACAUAGAGAGAGGAGGAGGAGAAGCAUUGGACAUAUAGAGAGGAGGAGAAGCAUUGGACAUAGAGAGAGGAGGAGAAGCAUUGGACAUAUAGAGGAGGAGGAGGAGGAGAAGCAUUGGACAUAGAGAGAGGAGGAGGAGAAGCAUUGGACAUAUAGAGGAGGAGGAGGCGAAGCAUUGGACAUAGAGAGAGGAGGAGAAGCAUUGGACAUAGAGAGAGGAGGAGAAGUAUUGGACAUAUAGAGGAGGAGGAGGAGGAGAAGCAUUGGACAUAUAGAGAGGAGGAGAAGCAUUGGACAUAGAGAGAGGAGGAGGUGAAGCAUCAAACAAGACAUUUCAUUAAACCCUCUGUCCCAUAUUAAAGUUGAUCCAAAAAGAAAAAAAUAAAGUAAUGUAGAAAUAUUCUCCCACAAUCAACUCAAAAAGACACAGGAAAAAGCAUUCCAGGGAGUGCAGCCAUUUACUGACAGACUUACAGAUCAGAGCGUACCAUGCCAGUAUUUUCAGUUAGUAAGAGUAUAUUAACACAUCCACACACUCACAUUAACACACACACACACACACACCCCUUGGACCACUAAAGCUUACUGACAUAAGACAACAGAAAUUACAACAUGGCUUGGAAAGGACCACUGUAUGUCACUACUGCACUGGAUACUCCAAACGUACAUAGAAAGCACAUUAGGCAGAAUACUUAGGGGACAGACAGAAACACUGCUCGCUACAUAUCAGUAGUGGAAUUGCAAUUUACAGUAAGAGAUGAACAUGUCCCAUGGCUCAAGGACUUCUCAUUUACAGUAGAAUAAAUAUGUUGCAAUUGCUACUCUUCCUGUAAUGUACAUUCUAAACCCUAGACAUUAUGCAGGAAGCCAGUGUAGUGUACAUUCUAAACCCUAGACAUUAUGCAGGAAGCCAGUGUAGUGUACAUUCUAAACCCUAGACAUUAUGCAGGAAGCCAGUGUAGUGUACAUUCUAAACCCUAGACAUUAUGCAGGAAGCCAGUGUAAUGUACACAGAUUAACUGUAGGUCCCCGUAUAUUAUGAAAGUUUGUUCCAAGACUAGUCGUGUUUUUUUUAAUAUAACUUUUUUUUUUUUUUCUUCUCUCUAAAUCAUCUUGUUUUGAAAUGUGGGAAGAUAACAGUGUGUUUUUUUUCAUAGCUGAGGUCAUGAAUUGGCGAUAGUGAACUUAACGUCAAAGCGUCCUUGGUAGCGAUCUUUCUCGCUGUAGUCAAUGUUCGCUCCGUACACUUUGCACUCGAGACGCAGCUCCUCGUUGAAGGUGAGGUUGGUAAACUGGAUGGCCACCAGAGGUUGCAGGUAGUUUGGAUGCAGCAGCUUGCCGUAGUAAGGGUAGUACUGGAGGGGGAACCCCAUUCCCAUGCCAUAGUACUUGAUCUCACCAAUCUUGCUGGCAUCCUCCUCUCUCUGUAGAGAAUGACAUCACAGUUAAGUAGGCUGCCAUUACAGAACAAGGUUGCAUCUUUUUCCC